AUCUGCUGCGGAAGGGAACUCGAGCAGCCGAGAAGAGUUCACACCUCCUGCCGGCACUGACGCAGCCGGCAACUCCCAACUGCAAGAGAGGGGGAUGGACGCCGCAACUGAAACUAGCUUCAGCAGCUACGCUCUUCAAGGCAGAGCAAGACCCAAACGCAUCAUCGAAACACUUCCAUGCGCGCUGAAACAGAGGACUGAAACUCUGCUUUUCUCACAGGAAAGGAACAUCAAGAGAGCCCCGUCUACCGUUAACUGCGUCCCCCCCCCCGACAUGGUUUGGCCUGGUCCCCGCUCCAGGGUUCCGAAAGCCGGGUUACUUACGUCACAGCUAACGUUAUUUCACAGGGCGUGGGAAGGGGUGGCGACGUGAGUCAGCCUACCCCUUCGGAGCGGGUGGCUGGGUCGGAAAACGACAAAUUUGGCUCAUUGCUGAGCUAGAGAUUCAUCAUCCUCGUGUUUUAAAGCUUCUGCUCUGCAUUUUUGUCCUUUCCUCUAAUUUAUGCCUCAUCAUCCCACAUUUUCUGGGAAAAUGCGACCUUAAUAAGGCAAGUUCUGGAAAAGCUUCCGAUCAGCUGAGAAACAGAUCAGCGGCUGAUCUAGCUCAACAUCCUAUUCACACAGUGACUGACCUGACGGAGAGACCACAAUCAGGCCAGGCCUCAGGCAGCCACUCUCUCACUGCGUAUGCCCUGCAACAAGAGAGAUACUUGUCUCGUCUGCAACAAGAGAUAUACUGUCUCUGGACAUGGAGGUUCUAAUUAUCCAAUAGCCAUUGACAAACCCCAAUAGCUCCCCAAUGGGAGGAGACAAAGAGAAUAGAGACACGCGGGCUUGAAAGCAAAGAGUUGCUUUGAAGAAUAAUUGGCACAGAAAGUGAAAAGCGGGCUGUUGGCGCCCAGCAGACUUGCUAAGGAAAUGGGAUGGGAGUUUAGGACGGAAAGAGAGCCAUUUUCUACCUGAUCCUGAUGGGGUCCUUCACUCCAGUUGGCUCGAGCAUGUGGCAAUGGGGUGCAGGAAUGCGCAGAGAUGGGUGCGAGAGGGUGAUACAAGAGAGCGGUCCCCUUUUGGGAGAGAGACAAACCUUUCUGUUUGAUGGAACUGGGGUAUGUGAUGGACGUUUGAAGAGCAGAAGGUUGAAAGGCUAUUUUUUUCAACCCCACACUUUCUUCACCAGCGGGUCGCCAUCAACUCCUAUACAGCAACAGGACCUCAGGCAACGUUCAAACCGGGAAGGAUAUGUAGAAGAAAUGCCAAAAGAGAAGUAGUGACUGGAGGCAAGGGUGGCAGCAGCAGGAGUCUGUGAAGGAGGAAGAUGCGAUCUUUGAAGUGGAGAAAACUCUGAAAGGGAGUGACUACCCAGAGCCUUUCCAGACAGGGCUUUCAGCUCUCGGCAUAUCGGAUGAGCAAAGCCAUUUUGAAUGAAAAUCACAGCAUUAGGGAAGCAGCUCCUCUCCUCUCUUCUCUGAUUUUUCUUUCGUGUAUGUUCUCACUGUGCUUUAUAGAAUUUAAAAAAAAACUAUUUUGAAAAACCAGCAACCUAGACACUCCAUGAAAAGCAACUCAGUUUAAUGUCACAAGUGUCAGGCAAAAACCUUAGCAAGCAGACUAAUAUUCUACAAAAAAAUUUGCUUGAGCAUACACAGAGGUUUUAAUUGUAGGGUUUUGUAACUUUCAAAGAACAAAACAUAGUUUGUUGCUUAUCUCAAAACUGGUUUUUCCACUAUUUGCAUCUGCAGAAGGCAUGUAGUCCAAGUUGUCAGGACUCUGUGUAUUUUUAUU